AGUGAACGCUGGCGGUAGGCCUAACACAUGCAAGUCGAACGGCAGCACAGUAAGAGCUUGCUCUUACGGGUGGCGAGUGGCGGACGGGUGAGGAAUACAUCGGAAUCUACUUUUUCGUGGGGGAUAACGUAGGGAAACUUACGCUAAUACCGCAUACGACCUACGGGUGAAAGCAGGGGAUCUUCGGACCUUGCGCGAUUGAAUGAGCCGAUGUCGGAUUAGCUAGUUGGCGGGGUAAAGGCCCACCAAGGCGACGAUCCGUAGCUGGUCUGAGAGGAUGAACAGCCACACUGGAACCGAGACACGGUCCAGACCCCUACGGGAGGCAGCAGUGGGGAAUAUUGGACAAUAGGCGCAAGCCUGAUCCAGCCAUACCGCGUGGGGGAAGAAGGCCUUCGGGUUGUAAAGCCCUCUUUGUUGGGAAAGAAAAGCAGCAGGUUAAUACCCCGCUGUUCUGACGGUACCCAAAGAAUAAGCACCGGCUAACUUCGUG
rnacentral:rRNA from 1 species